rnacentral:rRNA from 1 species
GAAUCUGCCCUCAGGAGGGGGAUAACGGUUGGAAACGACCGCUAAUACCCCAUAUGCCGAGAGGUGAAAUGAAAUUCGCCUGAGGAUGAGCUCGCGUCUGAUUAGCUAGUUGGUAAGGUAAUGGUUUACCAAGGCAUUGAUCAGUAGCUGGUCUGAGAGGAUGAUCAGCCACACUGGGGCUGAGACACGGCCCAGACUCCUACGGGAGGCAGCAGUGGGGAAUUUUCCGCAAUGGGCGCAAGCCUGACGGAGCAACGCCGCGUGAGGGAUGAAGGCCUCUGGGCUGUAAACCUCUUUUAUCAAGGAAGAAGAUCUGACGGUACUUGAUGAAUAAGCCACGGCUAAUUCCGUGCCAGCAGCCGCGGUAAUACGGGAGUGGCAAGCGUUAUCCGGAAUUAUUGGGCGUAAAGCGUCCGCAGGCGGUUUUACAAGUCUGUCGUUAAAACGUGGAGCUCAACUCCAUUUCGGCGAUGGAAACUGUAAGACUAGAGUGUGGUAGGGGCAGAGGGAAUUCCCGGUGUAGCGGUGAAAUGCGUAGAUAUCGGGAAGAACACCAGUGGCGAAGGCGCUCUGCUGGGCCAUAACUGACGCUCAUGGACGAAAGCCAGGGGAGCG